rnacentral:antisense_RNA from 1 species
CGGGGUUUUGCUUCACCAUUGAGCUUGUCCUGCUAGCCUCCACCAGUUCCUGAAGAAAAUAGGCCAAAGUGUGGAACAUACAGGAUGAAGCGAUUACAACCUGGGCGCAGUAUACUGGCUGGCUUUGCUGCUCACUCCCUUAUGAAUAGCUGUGAUGGGAUAUGAAAUCCAAGGGAACAGUUAGCCCCCAGAGCAGCUGCUCCCACCGACCCUGCUCUGAGAAUGCUGGGAUGUCCGCUGGCCUUGAGGCAAGACUGGAGCUCCAAUCACUCUGCUGCAAACACCACCAUUAAAGUCAAGAUCGCUGCGGUGGGGGGAGUUCAAGUGUGCAUUCCAGCAUGCUCAUGAUCUUACUGACCUUCUCCACUGAUGAAUUAGAACACCCCUCUUCCCAGGUACAGGACGAGUUCAGUGCCUCUCUGUUUCUUGAUGGACCCCAAUAAAAAAUGCCUGCACUGUU